GUAGCAACUGCUGCACCUCAAUCUUGUCGAGUGUUUUGUGUUGUUCGAACUGGUGCGUGAAAACUCCCCCGGAGGCGCGGGUCAAUUAACACUUCAUCUGUAAUAAAAAAUAAAAGAUUGGAAAAUUCUACCAGGAGCCAAUGCAAAUCAUAAAAUGAUAUUGUCGGCCAAUGUCAACUUUUGGCAAGCGAGAGAGUUGAGAUGUGUACAUAAUCAGAUGUUUAAGUUUAAAUCAUUUGGAUCAUUCUCGAAAUAAACAAUUCAUAGUGGGAAAGAACCUGCCAUAUUCCAAACGUUGUGUGUGUGAAAGGUAAUAUGGUUCGACCCAGACGAGCAGGUGACCCUCGCAGCCAAUCAGCUAAACUUUCUGAAUCUGCUCGCUCCAUUUUCCAUUUCUGUAUAGUUGUAGUCGCACAAGGAAAAAUAAAAAAAAAAAGGUAACAUUUAGAAAAUGUUACCGAGCGUUCACUCCUUAUUAGAUUACAUGAAAAAAAAAUAAGAGAGAUUACCAACACCCUUUUUUAGACGCGCUCAAUGAUGAAAAACUAAAUGUGUCGAAAUAAUUAUAUAAAAGGGCAUUAGAUUAAAUUAAAAAUUUAAAUUAGCUUUGCUCUGAUUGUUGCCGUAUUUCUGGUGGGACGGGUAUUAAAAAUUAAAUUUAAAAA